AUACGUAGGGUGCAAGCGUUAAUCGGAAUUACUGGGCGUAAAGCGUGCGCAGGCGGUUUUGUAAGACAGAGGUGAAAUCCCCGGGCUCAACCUGGGAACUGCCUUUGUGACUGCAAGGCUAGAGUACGGCAGAGGGGGGUGGAAUUCCGCGGGUAGGCGUGGAAAGCGUAGAUAUGCGGAGGAACACCGAUGGCGAAGGCAAUCCCCUGGGCCUGUACUGACGCUCAUGCACGAAAGCGUGGGGAGCAAACAGGAUUAGAUACCCUGGUAGUCCACGCCCUAAACGAUGUCAACUGGUUGUUGGGUCUUCAUUGACUCAGUAACGAAGCUAACGCGUGAAGUUGACCGCCUGGGGAGUACGGCCGCAAGGUUGAAACUCAAAUGAAUUGGCGGGG
rnacentral:rRNA from 1 species